ensembl:lncRNA
AAGAAGAUGGCUGCGCCCAUAGUUAAUGGGGGAAGAGAUGUAUUUUCUUUCUAUUUGUACCACGUUGGUGGUUUUAAAGGGACUCUUACCUUUGUUGCAUUUUUACACUUUUUUUGGAUAAGGUUAAAUUGGUAUUAAUAAGGUAAUAACACUCUAAUAUGCAAGACAGACCAACCAGGAGUAAAAACAAACAAUUAUUUUACUCUCAUAAUAUUUAGUGAAAACUUCAACCAAUAAAAUUCUUCGGACCGAAUGACCUUAUUGGCCGACAGACCUGUCUGUUUGCUGCAUGGAUAUAUAAGGUUUUCCGUCUGCUUCUUGUGGCGCAUUCGGGCCCGCGUCAUUAAGGCGCGUCCUCAACUAGAGGGUUUGUUUUGAUUCCACGGCAGACAGUAGCGAGUAGCGACCGUAGCGACUGACGAUGGCAGACCAAAGCGGUCCACGGCGUACUGAAACUGCACCAUUCAGUCCGAUUAGGGGACUCAUCUCGGACUCAGACUCACAGAGUUACCCUCCUCUGGAGCCUCAGGAAGACCUCCAGACUGUUGGCCACCAACUGCACCAUUCAGUCCGACAAGGGGACCCGAUUCGGCCUCAGAAGCCAAGUGGUCCCGCUCCCCUGGAUGAUUCUCAGGACCUCCAGACCGUUGGCAACCAACCGCACCACUCAGUCCGAUUAGGGGACCCGUUUCGGACUCAGACGCGAAGUUGUCCCGCUACUCUGGAGCUCCGGGAAGACCUGACCGUUGGCACCCAACCGCACCACUCAGUCCGAUUACGGGACCCAUUUCGGACUCAGACGCGACGUUGUCCCGCUACUCUGGAGCUACAGGAAGACCUCCAGACCGUUGGCACCCAACCGCACCACUCAGUCCGAUUACGGGACCCAUUUCGGACUCAGACGCGAUGUUGUCCCGCUACUCUGGAGCUACAGGAAGACCUCCAGACCGUUGGCACCCAACCGCACCACUCAGUCCGAUUACGGGACCCAUUUCGGACUCAGACGCGACGUUGUCCCGCUACUCUGGAGCUACAGGAAGACCUCCAGACCGUUGGCACCCAACCGCACCAUUCAGUCCGAUUAGGGGACCCAUUUCGGCCUCAGACGCUACGUUGUCCCGCUACUCUGUUUGUAAUGCUCAUACACCUUUCUUAUACUCAGUGUAUCACACGAAGCCCAUAAAAAUUACAGUGAGCCACCUGCUAAAUUUCUUGUUUACUAGACCCCUGGUAGAUAUUAUGACCCCUGGGAGUCUAAACAUAACCCAUGGGAGUCUAAACAUAACCCAUGGGAGUCUAGAACUUUUGUACUGUAGCGACCCUGGGACAGUUAAAUAGUUUGUGUGUUAUGUGUUACAUUAUAUUUCGUUGUCCGCUAUGCCAGUUGUUCUAUGUGCAUGUAUUGUAAUGUUCUUCUUGUCAAUCAGCGUGGGGGCGAAUCAUUAGGUCAGCUGGGGGAGGGCCUUGGAAGAACAGGAGGGUGGGGGCCUGCACGCGAGUGAGACCGUGUUGGGGGUUGCCGGGGUAACCGGGGUUUGUUUUGUGUCGGUUUUCUGCCGUUGGUUACAAUGUUACGGGUUUCAGUGACCUGGUUUUGGUUCAUUAAAACUACCUUCAACUACUAAUGACUCGACAUCAUUAUGUCACCGGCGAGGUCGUUACAGUACUAAAUAACGCUUAGGGGGUGGGGCAUUGGAGGAAGGCGGGAUGAUUUGAAUGUGCUGUAAUUCUCAAAUGCAACAAAGGUCAGAGUCCCUUUAAUGUCGUUUUUAAAACCUCUUACACACUUGAUUUCAUUGCUGCUUUAAUCCGGUCACCAAUAUAUGCAUUGCAAGGUCUUGCUUUGCGUGCAAUUCAAUGUAAAGUUUGGUUUUGAAGCUGGUUUGCUAAAGAGGCUAUGUCGCUAAUGAUGACUAGCCUGCUACUACUCCCCCUGGUGGCUCGACAGAAACACAAAUGGCAAACUGGAAGGCUGGAGCAAGGGAAAUACGUCACGCUCUCGCUGAAGCUCGUCGUUCGUACCAGCGUACCAUCCAAAUGGAUAGCAGCAUUACGUA